GAUGAACGCUGGCGGCGUGCCUAAUACAUGCAAGUCGAGCGAACGGACGAGAAGCUUGCUUCUCUGAUGUUAGCGGCGGACGGGUGAGUAACACGUGGAUAACCUACCUAUAAGACUGGGAUAACUUCGGGAAACCGGAGCUAAUACCGGAUAAUAUUAUGAACCGCAUGGUUCAAUAGUGAAAGACGGUUUUGCUGUCACUUAUAGAUGGAUCCGCGCUGCAUUAGCUAGUUGGUAAGGUAACGGCUUACCAAGGCAACGAUGCAUAGCCGACCUGAGAGGGUGAUCGGCCACACUGGAACUGAGACACGGUCCAGACUCCUACGGGAGGCAGCAGUAGGGAAUCUUCCGCAAUGGGCGAAAGCCUGACGGAGCAACGCCGCGUGAGUGAUGAAGGUCUUCGGAUCGUAAAACUCUGUUAUUAGGGAAGAACAUAUGUGUAAGUAACUGUGCACAUCUUGACGGUACCUAAUCAGAAAGCCACGGCUAACUACGUG
rnacentral:rRNA from 1 species